GCUCCUCUGUGGGUGGGGAUUUGUUGCACUACUUGUGUUUUUAUUAAAAGUAUUGCACUUGUCCCGGCCUGUGGAUGAAAG
rfam:Xenopus laevis strain J chromosome 8L, whole genome shotgun sequence.